GACGAACGCUGGCGGCGUGCUUAACACACGCAAGUCGAACGGAAAGGCCCUGCUUUUGUGGGGUGCUCGAGUGGCGAACGGGUGAGUAACACGUGAGUAACCUGCCCUUGACUUUGGGAUAACUUCAGGAAACUGGGGCUAAUACCGGAUAUGAUCUCCUGCUGCAUGGUGGUGGUUGGAAAUUUUCGUCGGUUGGGGAUGGACUCGCGGCUUAUCAGCUUGUUGGUGGGGUAGUUGCUUACCAAGGCUUUGACGGGUAGCCGGCCUGAGAGGGUGACCGGCCACAUUGGGACUGAGAUACGGCCCAGACUCCUACGGGAGGCAGCAGUGGGGAAUAUUGCACAAUGGGCGGAAGCCUGAUGCAGCAACGCCGCGUGCGGGAUGACGGCCUUCGGGUUGUAAACCGCUUUCGCCUGUGACGAAGCGUGAGUGACGGUAAUGGGUAAAGAAGCACCGGCUAACUACGUG
rnacentral:rRNA from 1 species